rnacentral:lncRNA from 13 species
ACACUUCUGCCCAGAUGCAAAAAGAGUCUGGUAAGCUAACGCCUCAAACUGUGUUCAGAAGGAGCUGGGGUGCAGACAGCAGACAACAGAUGUUUGGGGGUCGAAGUAGAGGUGUUUGGGGUGGAGAGGACGGUGGACUCAGUGGACGACAUCCCAGCCAUUUACCUGAUGGCACCUGGCCAGCUGAGUGCAGCUGGCUCUCCCGUCAACAUGAGGAUCCUGCUGCUCCAGCCCCAAAAACACAUAGGAAGAGUUGAAGGCGGAGCAUGCCUUGUACCUGCAGCAGCACCUGGAGCUCCUUGCCAUGAUGGCCAACUUCUUGCAGUUCCUUUCACCACGAAAACUGAGCAAUGUCUUGUCUUGGACUUCUCCCCUUUUUCUUCCCACUUACCUCCAGGUGGCACAUUCAACACCUCUCCUUGUCAACACACUGGCUGGGUCUCAAUAGUCUGUUAGCUUCCUCUCACAGGCACUAUAGUGAGGACAAUACUCUUGUCAUUAUUAUGAACAUGAGGCCCUCGAUCAUCAAAUAUUAACGCUUUAAUGGAAGUUUUGUAUUUUAAUUGUGAGAAGUGUUUUACCGUUAUUGUUUGACUGAGCUUCACUGAAAACAAUUCCAAUCAACUCUGUUGAUAUGGCAAUCAACUCUGUUGAUAUGGCAAUCAACUCUGUUGAUAUGGCAAUCGCAAGAGUUAGUUACAGUGUGUCUUAUAUAUUUUCCAUGGUUGAUUUCUGUUAUGAACUUUGUGGUCAUUUUAGUAACUGCUACUUUGCUUUUGCUCUGAUGUGAUCACCCCAUAAAUUUGUAAGAAUUAAGUUACUAAUGCUAUUGUUUGGAUAACUUUACUGCCCUUAUUUCCUAGGAAAUGAUCAUGUAUACUCCUAAUACAUAUUAAUUCAUUACAAAACGGACAGCUGGCAAAGAUGUACAAUGAUUCAUAAAUGUACAGAACCCGCUGCAUUUACUAACAAGUCAAUGUGUUUAUUGUAACAUAAACAAAUUUAACAAAACAAACAAGUUCAAGUCAAACAACUUCACGUCAAGAAAAAAUAUAAUCAGUUCCAACAUUUGACACCCUUGAAAAAGAUCAGCGAAAAGGUGAAAACCUUCAAGUUCCUCUGUGUACAUAUGACAUGGUACGCCCACACAGUGUGGUCAAGGUGCAACAGCGCCUCUUCAACCAAUAGAGGCUGAAGAAAUUCGGCUUGGCCACUAAGACCCUCAAAAAUUUCUACAGAUGCACCAUUGAGAGCAUCCUGUCGGGAAAUGUAUCACUGCGUGGAACAGCAACUGCACCAUCUGCAACUGCAGGGCUCGCCAGAGGGUGAUGCUGUCUGCCCAAUGCAUCACUGGGGGCAUACUGCCUGCCCUCCAGGACAUUUACAGCACCUGCUGUCACAGGAAAGCCAAGAAGUUCAUCUAGGACCUCAGCCACCCGAGCCACAGCCUGUUAACCCCACUACCAUCCAGAAGGGGAGAUCAGUACAGGUCAUCAGACUGUUAAAUAGUCACCACUUGCCGGCCUCUGCCCAGAACAGUACCCUGCCCUGAACUUUAGUCGCUGUAACUAGCUGGCUACCACCCAGUUCCUCAACCCUGCACCUUAGAGGUUGCUGCCCCUAAGUACAUAGUCAUGGAACACUGGUCCCUUUAGUAUUGUUUACAUACUGUUUGACCCACAUAUGUAUAUACUGUAUUCUAGUUAUGUCCUAUCCUAUUUAACUCUUGCUGUACAUAUACCAUUCUAUCCUACGUAUUCUACAGAUACACUACAUAUUGUAUCCAUAAACUGUCCAUAAUGUCUAUACAUCCCAUCACAUACAGUGCCUUUGGAAAGUAUUCGGACCCCUUGACUUUUUCCACAUUUUGUUAUUUUGCAGCCUUAUUCUAAAAUUGAUUAAAUAAAACAAAUUAUUCAGCAAUCUACACACAAAACCCCAUAACGACAAAGAGAAAACAGUUUUUUUCUACAUUUUUGCAAAUGUAAAUUUUUAAAAGUUAUUAGACUUGAAAUUGAGCUCAGGUGCAUCCUGUUUCCAUUGAUCAUCCUUGAGAUGUUUCUACAACUUGAUUGGAGUCCACCUGUGGUAAAUUCAAUUGAUUGGACAUGAUUUGGAAAGGCACACAACUGUCUAUAUACAGUGCCUUGCGAAAGUAUUCGGCCCCCUUGAACUUUGCGUGAAGAAUCAACAACAAGUGGGACACAAUCAUGAAGUGGAACGACAUUUAUUGGAUAUUUCAAACUUUUUUAACAAAUCAAAAACUGAAAAAUUGGGCGUGCAAAAUUAUUCAGCCCCUUUACUUUCAGUGCAGCAAACUCUCUCCAGAAGUUCAGUGAGGAUCUCUGAAUGAUCCAAUGUUGACCUAAAUGACUAAUGAUGAUAAAUACAAUCCACCUGUGUGUAAUCAAGUCUCCGUAUAAAUGCACCUGCACUGUGAUAGUCUCAGAGGUCCG